UGGUUCUUGGUGCAGCGCCAAGAAGAGAGGGAACAGGUUUUUCCAAAGAGUUUGGGCCGUUUCACACAGAAAGCGAAACGUGCCAGUUGAAAAUGUAAUAUUGGUCCUAAUCGAACCAAAUCUACUGGACUGGAAAACAAAUAAGGAUCAGAGACUAGAGAACAGGGGAGACAUCAAACAGAGCAAACACAUGCAAAGGAAGCCCUAAAAAACAUUUCCACCCACGUCUUAGUCACCCGGUGCACGCCCCUAUUUCCUUUAGCAACCAAACGAGUGAACUGGUCAUCCUGUUUUCAACAAAAGAAAGCCGCCAUGUUGUCUUUGGGGCAGCUCUCGGUCAGAGCAGGCAGAAUGGAGAUGCACUCAGACAGACGGAUGAUCUUCUUGUCCAG